rnacentral:misc_RNA from 1 species
GUCCACAUGGCCCCCCUCCCGCUUGAAGACCUCGCCGUCGUAAGCGAUCAGGCUCUCCGAGGCUCCGUCGAUCAGCAUCGCGUUCUCGACCUCCGGAUAAUCCGCCUCGAGCACGUCGGCCAGCGGCUUCGGCACCGAUCCCCACGUAUACGUAUUCUCCUCGAGAUACCCGUGCCGCAUCACCCGAAACAGCCGAUCGCCGUCCUCAUGAAAGCGAUCGUAGCUCAGCUCAUUCAUCACCCAGUGCAGAAUGAAAAAGCUGCACGCCAGCCCGACCGCGAGCCCGAACACAUUGAUAAAGGCAUAUCCCUUCUGCCGCCGGAUAUUCCGAAACGUCGUAAUUAGAUAGUUCUUCA